ACCCUACGGUCAUUGGUGUUAUCUAUCUUUGUUUAUCAUUCGCAUAGCGCAAGACAUACAGAUCAUACGAUUACACCGCAAGCACAGAUUUAUGAUCGUACGAUUGUACCGCAAGCACAGAUUAAUGAUCGUACGAUUGUACCGCAAGCAGACGAAGAAUAGAUGAUCGCGCGACUGCGCUUAACGCCACUUAAUCUUCGUGAUUAGCUAAGCUGCCGAUCAUAAUUGAAAAGAUCUUUGACGAUAGCAGACGCGACGUUCAGAUCAUAUAUUAAAUUAAAAGCAAAACGUGGGUGAAUUAUUAUACUACACAAAAAGAUUAUAUCCGUGGAUAGUGCGAGCAGCAAACCAUUUAAAUAAAUGUCUAGUGAUUUGGCAAUAGGUGACCACCUUGAUUUAGCUCAAUAGCUAGAGCUAUCACCAAAGCAAAGACUGCGAAAGAGUAGUUGGUUUUUUUUAUAUGACUCGUGCGGUCAAUGGCACGCAGCGAUAAAAUAAAAGACCUGACUGCGCAGCAGAUUAACCUACCACGAAGGCAAGAUACCCUCACAGACACGGAGCUAACUCUCGACGGCGUAAGAUUUCAUUAACGGCCAAAAGAGAGACUCCACCCACAACAACCAGAAAAAAAGAAAUCGGGAUCUCUAAAAACAACCUACACCAUGACGUAGGACAACCUCAUUUAGAUCUUGGCCUUGUCCAAAUACAUAAGUUAAGUAAGGACCCGACGGAAGGUAGAGCAUUGCGUCAGCUGAUGCGCUAAUGCAGGAACACAGCGAAGGUAGCCAGAGCAGACUAUGCGCUGCUCUGAAAAGCAGCUAAAAUCAACAUGCUAUCGUCAUCUUGGGCCCAGGAAUACAACGGUAUGCAGAUAUAUAUAUAAAAACAAUAAAAACGCUGUUUUUAUCUAUAGACAG